GCAGCAUCUGUUGGCUGCGCGGGCUGUGACCUUUCUCACAGCAUGGUAUUCGUCAUUGUUUUGUUUGCGAGCAUCUAUAUAUGCCGUGGAAGUUCUGGGGAGAGAGUUUCAGAAAAAGAAAACUGAAACUAAGAAGGAAAUCAAAAGCAAAAAGCCAGAAACUACUUCUUUAGCCCUUUUCUUUAUGAUCUCAGGACUUCAGGGACCUUGAAAGAUUGAUUUCCUCUCACUCAAGUUUCUUAUAAAAUUAGCUUUGGCUCAUACAUCUGUAACACAGUAGUUAAUUUUACAAGAUAAGCAGUACAGGGGAAAUGUAUCUGAGGGGAAAAUCGAGUGCUGGAAGCUCGAGAGACACUUAUAAGGUCACAAAACAAAGCCGUGGGUUCCUGCAUUCUGAAGUGGAACUAUAGGCUCUUGCCUGGUCCCAGCUGUUCUCAUUAAGUCCUUAAUAUUGACUGAAUCUCCCACCAGUGAAGAGCAGUAAAAUAAAACCCUCAGAGCCCUGGGAGCAGAGUGAUUCUACAGACCUCUAGAUGGAUUUGGCAGAGAAGAAGAAUCAGAAAGACUUCACUAAUGUCAGAAAUGAAAAGCGAAUUUGUAUCCUCAACUUUAUUUCACCCAUGCAGCCC
rnacentral:lncRNA from 1 species